UACGUAGGCAGCGAGCGUUGUUCGGAGUUACUGGGCGUAAAGAGUGCGUAGGCGGUGCUCCAAGUCUGGUGUGAAAUCUCCCGGCUUAACCGGGAGGGUGCGCCGGAAACUGGGGUGCUGGAGUGUGGGAGAGGUAAGCGGAAUUCCCGGUGUAGCGGUGAAAUGCGUAGAUAUCGGGAGGAACGCCAGUGGCGAAGGCGGCUUCCUGGACCUGUUCUGACACUGAGGAGCGAAAGCGUGGGGAGCGAUCCGG
rnacentral:rRNA from 1 species